rnacentral:rRNA from 1 species
CCUACGGGCGGCAGCAGUGGGGAAUAUUGCACAAUGGGCGCAAGCCUGAUGCAGCCAUGCCGCGUGUGUGAAGAAGGCCUUCGGGUUGUAAAGCACUUUCAGCGGGGAGGAAGGCGUUAAGGUUAAUAACCUUGGCGAUUGACGUUACCCGCAGAAGAAGCACCGGCUAACUCCGUGCCAGCAGCCGCGGUAAUACGGAGGGUGCAAGCGUUAAUCGGAAUUACUGGGCGCAAAGCGCACGCAGGCGGUCUGUCAAGUCGGAUGUGAAAUCCCCGGGCUCAACCUGGGAACUGCAUUCGAAACUGGCAGGCUAGAGUCUUGUAGAGGGGGGUAGAAUUCCAGGUGUAGCGGUGAAAUGCGUAGAGACCUGGAGGAAUACCGGUGGCGAAGGCGGCCCCCUGGACAAAGACUGACGCUCAGGUGCGAAAGCGUGGGGAGCAAACGGGAUUAGAUACCCCGGUAGUC